rnacentral:rRNA from 1 species
UAGUCCACGCUGUAAACGAUGAGUGCUAAAAGUGGGUUAUUUUAUCUGCUUUAUAGCUAACGCGUUAAGCACUCCGCCUGGGGACUACGGUCGCAAGACUAAAACUCAAAGGAAUUGACGGGGACUCGCACAAGCGGUGGAGUAUGUGGUUUAAUUCGAUGCAACGCGAAAAACCUUACCACACCUUGACAUAUGGAUCGUAUCCUUCUGAACGGAAGGAGUCAGCUUGGCUGGAUCCGAUACAGGUGUUGCAUGGCCGUCGUCAGCUCGUGUCGUGAGAUGUUGGGUUAAGUCCCGCAACGAGCGCAACCCCUAUUCUUAGUUGCCAGCGGUUCGGCCGGGAACUUUAAGAAAACUGCUAGUGAUAAACUAGAGGAAGGUGGGGAUGACGUCAGGUCAUCAUGGCCCUUAUGGUGUGGGCUACACACGUACUACAAUGGUGAUUACAAUGAGCUUAGCUAAACUGCAAGGUGGUGCAAAUCUCCUAAAAAUCAUCUCAGUACGGAUUGUCUU